GGCUUUUGGCUCAGUGGUAGAGCACUUGCCUUGCAGGUAUGAGACAUGGGUUCAAUUCUCCACACCA
rnacentral:tRNA from 1 species